rnacentral:rRNA from 1 species
UACGAAGGGGGCUAGCGUUGCUCGGAAUCACUGGGCGUAAAGGGUGCGUAGGCGGGUCUUUAAGUCUGUCGUGAAAGCCCCGGGCUCAACCUGGGAAUGGCGAUGGAUACUGGCUCGCUAGAGUGCGGUAGAGGAGAGUGGAAUUCCCGGUGUAGCAGUGAAAUGCGUAGAGAUCGGGAGGAACAUCAGUUGCGAAGGCGGCUCUCUGGACCAGCACUGACACUGAGGCACGAAAGCGUGGGGAGCAAACAGG